AACCAACAGGAUUGCCUCAGUAGCGGCGAGUGAAGCGGCAAGAGCUCAGAUUUGAAAUCGUGCUUUGCGGCACGAGUUGUAGAUUGCAGGUUGGAGUCUGUGUGGAAGGCGGUGUCCAAGUCCCUUGGAACAGGGCGCCCAGGAGGGUGAGAGCCCCGUGGGAUGCCGGCGGAAGCAGUGAGGCCCUUCUGACGAGUCGAGUUGUUUGGGAAUGCAGCUCCAAGCGGGUGGUAAAUUCCAUCUAAGGCUAAAUACUGGCGAGAGACCGAUAGCGAACAAGUACUGUGAAGGAAAGAUGAAAAGCACUUUGAAAAGAGAGUGAAACAGCACGUGAAAUUGUUGAAAGGGAAGGGUAUUGCGCCCGACAUGGGGAUUGCGCACCGCUGCCUCUCGUGGGCGGCGCUCUGGGCUUUCCCUGGGCCAGCAUCGGUUCUUGCUGCAGGAGAAGGGGUUCUGGAACGUGGCUCUUCGGAGUGUUAUAGCCAGGG
rnacentral:rRNA from 1 species